CACCCCAUCGUCUAGUCAGGCCUAGGACACCGGGUUUUCAUCCCGGCAACACGGGUUCGAAUCCCGUUGGGGUGGCCA
rnacentral:tRNA from 1 species